AGAGCAUCACCCCUGAGGAUAAGAAGAGAGUGUGGACUGAAGUGGCAGAAGCUGUAACAAGUGCCUUCCCUGGGAGUGGACCCCGUACGCAGGAUGACUGUGAGAGGCGUUGGUACAACGUACAACAAAAAUCAAAGCCUUGCAUUGCCAAGUGCAAGAAUGAGCAGCGGCACUGCCCCGCUGCUGUAUUGCUAGAGACCAUCCCAGCACAUUGUUCAUUACUUGUGGAAAAGAUACCAUCAGCUGCUCCGGCAACAGCCACUGCUUCAACAUCUGCUGGCCCUAUGACACCAGCCACUGCUUCAACAUCUGGUGGCCAAAUGACACCUGCCACUGCUUCAUCAUCUGCUGGCCCUAUGACACCAGACACUGCUUCAUCAUCUGCUGGCCCA